UCAUGAGUUUGCACCAGUGUUCUGCAACAGUUUGGUAUUGUUUUAGUGAGCACUGAGGAAGGAAUAUAUGGAAGUACUCAGGACCUUUUCAAACAUCCUGAAUCCCCUUGUAUUUCUAGUGACCAGGCUGAGUACAUUAUACUACUACUACUACUAUUAGACUACUACUACUAUUAUUUAUAACAUGUAAAAGUGUUUCUCUGCUGUGGAGAUUAAAUAAUGGCCAUUGUUUUUCUUCCAAAAUUAUAUUAUAGAUAUUUAUCAAUGGAUUUAAGAAGAAUGUCUGGAUUGGUACAUAUAAAAAGAUGGAAUCUGGGAGUGGAUUGGCAUAACACUAUUUAAACCUACCUAUUGGAUGGAAGGGGAACCAAAUAACAUGCAUGACGAGUGUGUUGAGAUCUCACAGACGGCAUCAGACCCAUUGAAGAGUUGGAAGAAUGGUCUAUGUGCUACUCCAAAAUACUGGGUGUGUGAAAAACCGUUCACCCCAUAGUCUAAUUAUAAUAGCUAAAUGUAAGCCCUUAUCUUAUGGAAUUGCACUGGUUUUCCCUUUGUUAGUCUUAAACUGUUUUUGUUUCUAUGUGUAAUUAAAUUGAAAGAUGUAUUCAUGUCUUUAAAGAGACCAGAGCUAUGUGGAGUCUACCAUUCAUCAGGCCCAGGGGAGUGGAACUGUGGUCUAGUAGGCUCUAACUGUGGUUUAGAUUUUUACCAUUAUGGUGUGCAUAUAACAAUUUAACAAGAUGCUGUUUUCAUAUAAGUUUUACAGUUAUCAAUACAUUUCAAAUGCAGCAGUGUUCUGUUUUCGCUUCCAUUCUGUUCCAUAUGUACCAUGUGUUCAUUCUACUGAUUAAAUACAUGUAUAUACUAUGA